rnacentral:lncRNA from 1 species
CCAAAUUGUGAUCUUGGGCCUUAGGCCGAAAAAAUAAUUUUUUUUUUUCGGGCCUUAGGCCAAACUGUGAUUUCUGGGCCUUAGGCCAAAAUUGUGAUUUUUUGGGCCUUAGGCCAAACUGUGAUUUCUGGGCCUUAGGCCAAAUUGUGAUUUCUUGGGCCUUAGGCCAAAUUGUGAUUUUUUGGGCCUUAGGUCAAAUUGUAAUUGACUUCUUUUUGUGCUUACCAUUUUUAUUAGUAUGCAUGCUAGGAGGGGAUUAAGAUAUCUUUUAGUUAGGAACCAAAGGAUAACCUUAAACUGUUUUACCUUUUAGGGUGCAUACAUUAGGCUGGACGUAGGCGAGUCCUCCAUUGCUGAGAUCCCGUUUGACAUACUUGAUCAUAAUAACCCGGUCGGAGCCAUCAUUGGCCCUUCUCACCUGGACUUCUUAAGAAACCUCGAGCUGGGUAGGCAGAAUUAUAAGAGCCUACUGGGUGCGUUGGCUGAGAGAUGGUGGGACACCACCAACACUUUCCACUUCUCUUGGGGUGAGAUGACGAUGACUCCGA